UACGUACCGGACAAACGUUAUUCGGAAUCACUGGGCUUACAGGGUGCGUAGGCGGUCUGGAGGGUGGGGUGUGAAAUCCCUCGGCUCAACCGAGGAAUUGCGCUCCAAACCGGCAGACUUGAGGGAGACAGAGGUGUGCGGAACUGAUGGUGGAGCGGUGAAAUGCGUUGAUAUCAUCAGGAACACCAGUGGCGAAAGCGGCACACUGGGUCUCUUCUGACGCUGAGGCACGAAAGCCAGGGGAGCGAACGGG
rnacentral:rRNA from 1 species